rnacentral:rRNA from 1 species
UACGUAGGGGGCAAGCGUUGUCCGGAAUUAUUGGGCGUAAAGAGCUCGUAGGCGGCUUGUCGCGUCGACUGUGAAAACCCGCGGCUCAACUGCGGGCCUGCAGCCGAUACGGGCAGGCUAGAGUUCGGUGAGGGGAGACUGGAAUUCCUGGUGUAGCGGUGAAAUGCGCAGAUAUCUGGAGGAACACCGGUGGCGAAGGCGGCAUCCUGGACCAAUACUGACGCUGAGGAGCGAAAGCCAGGGGAGCAAACGGG